rnacentral:lncRNA from 1 species
UGUGUUACCUGCUGCAGUCCAGAAGUCCUUCGUAAAUGGCUUUGAUCUGGAGAGUUUAUACUGACUUUUUCCAGUCCGAGUAGGAACCAUCUCCUCUGCUCCACUCGCUGGCGCCGGAUCCUGCGACCUCUCUACAUUUCCACACUGAGCGUGGUCUGAGCUUUCCGAGUCCGUGCUCCUGGACAGCCCCCAAGCUGCCUCCUCACGUGGAGGAUGUCGACACCCCAGUCCUGCAGCUAAAGCUUUGCUCUCUCAAAGUGAAACAAUCCUCAAACUUGAACUGCUGUA